rnacentral:rRNA from 1 species
UACGUAGGGUGCGAGCGUUGUCCGGAAUUAUUGGGCGUAAAGGGCUCGUAGGCGGUUUGUCGCGUCGGGAGUGAAAACCAUGGGCUUAACUCAUGGCUUGCUUCCGAUACGGGCAGACUAGAGGCAUGCAGGGGAGAACGGAAUUCCUGGUGUAGCGGUGAAAUGCGCAGAUAUCAGGAGGAACACCGGUGGCGAAGGCGGUUCUCUGGGCAUGUUCUGACGCUGAGGAGCGAAAGUGUGGGGAGCGAACAGG